UUAAUCAAUAUAGAGAAAUUAAUGUUUGAAUGUUAAUAAUGUAUCUUACUUUAGUAAAAAAAUACUUAGCGUCAUGUUUUAGUAUUAAAAUGAUUUUUCCGGUCUUUGAUGGUCUAUUCAGUAACAUUGCAUAAUUUUUCAUGAAGCUAAAUUAUAAGAGGAUACUUUCAAAAUCGCCGUAGUUCACAGCUCCACUAUAUUCACGGGUAAUUAUUGGAAAUCCGCUGACGUUCACGGCUGCAUUUCACAAUGAUUCAACGAAAUUUAAUUUGUGUGCUCAAGCUCCCCUUUCUAAAAGCCUUCCAAUGCAAAAUGACAGCUGAUACAAAGGACCAUCUACUAUGAAGCUAGUGCCGUGGUUUGAUAACAGAGUACCUAUACCUAUCGGUCUACGUAGCGUUUCGGAAAAUAGAGUAAACAGGUCCACGUUAGUGUGUUUUGGUAUGUUUAUAAAUGUUUUAUUUAGACUAGGCGUAAUUGAUGUGCACCUAAAAAAAUUAUUCAAAUAUGCUAAAUUAGUUAACGACCUAUUUUUCGUACCAGAUGAUCGUCCUAAAUACACAGUAGGACACACGGUUAGUGACGAUAUUGUGAGAACUUCAUGCGUUCAAUUGAUUCGAAUUAGUCAGUAUGUUGUUACACAUAUUACGAACUAUAGUGAGAGAUACGAGUUGAACAGACUAGGGAAAAAAAUAACUAGUUUUAGACUGAUGGGACUCCCUAUUUAAACUACUAAAAUAUAUGGUGCUAUUUAAAGCCGAUUGCCAUACUAAGUAAUACCGGUUACCGAUAAUGUUGAAGGCGAUGUGAAAACUGCUUAUUCGGUUGCUUCGCUUCACAUUGUUUGGUGACGCAACCACCCGUGUCCAUGACAUCUCUCAACAGUUCGGCCCCACUGACGUUUGUGAUGUUAGCUGGCCGCUAUAAUUUGACGAGAAUAUCUUGUGAUGAAUGUUGAGAGUGGACGGAGAUGGGUCGUCGCGUCCUCGGAGGCGGAAGUCGACCGGCGCGUGUUUAUCAGCACAGCGGGCGGUGCGGCGCGCCACUGCCGUAUCACAGGAAGCUGUGGCCAGCACCGCUGUACAGUUUUUAUUGCUAUUUGUACAAAACACAAGUUUUAAAACGAUGUUAUCUUACGUUCGCUUCGCACCAAUAAUGAUUUCGUUGCGAAAAUUUGUAGUAAUCAAAAUAAACGUUUGUUGUCACGUC